UACAUGGGGUGCAAACGUUGCUCGGAAUCAUUGGGCGUAAAGCGCGCGUAGGCGGUUACUUAUGUCGGAUGUGAAAGCCCUCGGCUUAACUGAGGAAGUGCAUUCGAAACUGGGUAGCUAGAGUACUAAAGAGGGUCGCGGAAUUCCCGGUGUAGAGGUGAAAUUCGUAGAUAUCGGGGAGAACACCGGUGGCGAAGGCGGCGACCUGGGUAGAUACUGACGCUGAGGCGCGAAAGCGUGGGGAGCAAACAGG
rnacentral:rRNA from 1 species